rnacentral:rRNA from 1 species
UUCCGGUUGAUCCUGCCGGAGACUACCGCUAUCGGAGUCCGAUUUAGCCAUGCUAGUCCACCGAACCUUUGUUUCGGGGCGGAAAGCUGAGUAACACGUGGCCAACCUACCCUGUGGACAGGAAUAACCUCGGGAAACUGAGGAUAAUGCCUGAUAGCAGAACCAUGCUGGAAACGCAGGUUCUGUGAAAUGACACGUCGCCACAGGAUGGGGCCGCGGCUGAUUAGGUUGUCGGUGAGGUAACGGCUCACCGAGCCCGUAAUCAGUAGCAGCCGUGGGAGCGGUAGCUGCCAGUCGUGUUCUGAGACAAAAACACGGGCCCUACGGGGCGCAGCAGGCACGAAACCUUUACAAUGCACGCGAGUGCGAU